rnacentral:rRNA from 1 species
UACGUAGGGGGCUAGCGUUGUCCGGAAUCAUUGGGCGUAAAGCGCGUGUAGGCGGUCCGGUAAGUCCGCUGUGAAAGUCGGGGGCUCAACCCUCGAAUGCCGGUGGAUACUGUCGGGCUAGAGUGCGGAAGAGGAGAGUGGAAUUCCUGGUGUAGCGGUGAAAUGCGCAGAUAUCAGGAAGAACACCCGUGGCUAAGGCGGCUCUCUAGUACGGUACUGACGCUGAGACGCGAAAGCGUGGGGAGCGAACAGG